CCUACGGGAGGCAGCAGUGAGGAAUAUUGGUCAAUGGACGAGAGUCUGAACCAGCCAAGUAGCGUGAAGGAUGACUGCCCUAUGGGUUGUAAACUUCUUUUAUAAAGGAAUAAAACGAGGCACGUGUGCCUUUUUGCAUGUACUUUAUGAAUAAGGAUCGGCUAACUCGGUGCCAGCAGCCGCGGUAAUACGGAGGAUCCGCGCGUUAUCCGGAUUUUUUGGGUUUAAAGGGAACGUAGAUGGGUUGUUAAGUCAGUUGUGAAAGUUUGCGGCUCAACCGUAAAAUUGCAAUUGAUACUGGCAGUCUUGAGUACAGUUGAGGUAGGCGGAAUUCGUGGUGUAGCGGUGAAAUGCUUAGAUAUCACGAAGAACCCCGAUUGCGAAGGCAGCUUACUAAACUGUGACUGACAUUGAUGCUCGAAAGUGUGGGUAUCAAACAGGAUUAGAUACCCGAGUAGUC
rnacentral:rRNA from 1 species